rnacentral:rRNA from 1 species
CAACGCUGGCGGCGUGCCUAUUACAUGCAAGUCGAGCGGAAUGAUGAAGAAGCUUGCUUCUUCUGAUUUUAGCGGCGGACGGGUGAGUAACACGUGGGCAACCUACCUUGUAGAUUGGGAUAACUCCGGGAAACCGGGGCUAAUACCGAAUAAUCCAUUUUGCUUCAUGGCGAGAUGUUGAAAGACGGUUUCGGCUGUCACUACAAGAUGGGCCCGCGGCGCAUUAGCUAGUUGGUAGGGUAAUGGCCUACCAAGGCGACGAUGCGUAGCCGACCUGAGAGGGUGAUCGGCCACACUGGGACUGAGACACGGCCCAGACUCCUACGGGAGGCAGCAGUAGGGAAUCUUCCACAAUGGACGAAAGUCUGAUGGAGCAACGCCGCGUGAGUGAAGAAGGUUUUCGGAUCGUAAAACUCUGUUGUAAGGGAAGAACACGUACGAGAGUAACUGCUCGUACCUUGACGGUACCUUAUUAGAAAGCCACGGCUAACUACGUG